rnacentral:rRNA from 1 species
UACGAAGGGUGCAAGCGUUACUCGGAAUUACUGGGCGUAAAGCGUGCGUAGGUGGUUUGUUAAGUCUGAUGUGAAAUCCCGAGGCUCAACCUCGGAACUGCCUUCGAUACUGCGGGUCUCGAGUCCGGGAGAGGUGAGUGGAAUUCCAGGUGUAGCGGUGAAAUGCGUAGAUAUCUGGAGGAACACCGGUGGCGAAGGCAGCCCCCUGGGCUGACACUGACGCUCAGGCACGAAAGCGUGGGGAGCAAACGAGG